rnacentral:rRNA from 1 species
AUUGAACGCUGGCGGCAGGCCUAACACAUGCAAGUCGAGCGGAGCGGCGGACGGGUGAGUAAUGCCUAGGAAUCUGCCUGGUGGUGGGGGAUAACGUCCGGAAACGGGCGCUAAUACCGCAUACUAUCAGAUGAGCCUAGGUCGGAUUAGCUAGUUGGUGGGGUAAAGGCCUACCAAGGCGACGAUCCGUAACUGGUCUGAGAGGAUGAUCAGUCACACUGGAAUUGAGAACAGGUCCAGACUCCUACGGUCGCAAGCAGUGGGGAAUAUUGGACAAUGGGCGAAAUCUUGAUCAAGCCAUGCCGCGUGUGUGAAGAAGGUCUUCGGAUUGUAAAGCACUUUAAGUUGGGAGGCGUUACCAACAGAAUAAGCACCGGCUAACUUCGUGCCAGCAGCCGCGGUAAUUC